UACGAAGGGGGCUAGCGUUGUUCGGAAUUACUGGGCGUAAAGCGCGCGCAGGCGGUUCUUCAAGUCAGUGGUGAAAUCCUGGAGCUCAACUCCAGAACUGCCUUUGAUACUGAGGAUCUUGAGUUCGGGAGAGGUGAGUGGAACUGCGAGUGUAGAGGUGAAAUUCGUAGAUAUUCGCAAGAACACCAGUGGCGAAGGCGGCUCACUGGCCCGAUACUGACGCUGAGGCACGAAAGCGUGGGGAGCAAACAGG
rnacentral:rRNA from 1 species